UACGGGGGGGGUAAGCGUUGUUCGGAAUUACUGGGCGUAAAGGGCUCGUAGGCGGCCAACUAAGUCAGACGUGAAAUCCCUCAGCUUAACUGGGGAACUGCGUCUGAUACUGGAUGGCUUGAGUGUGGGAGAGGAAUGCGGAAUUCCAGGUGUAGCGGUGAAAUGCGUAGAUAUCUGGAGGAACACCGGUGGCGAAGGCGGCAUUCUGGACCAUAACUGACACUGAGAGACGAAAGCCAGGGGAGCAAACGGG
rnacentral:rRNA from 1 species